CUCAAUUUGAAAUUCCGAUCCUC
rnacentral:piRNA from 1 species